rnacentral:rRNA from 1 species
UGGGGAAUUUUGGACAAUGGGGGAAACCCUGAUCCAGCCAUGCCGCGUGUGUGAAGAAGGCCUUCGGGUUGUAAAGCACUUUCGGACGGAACGAAAUCGCACGGGUGAAUAUCCCGUGUGGAUGACGGUACCGUAAGAAGAAGCACCGGCUAACUACGUGCCAGCAGCCGCGGUAAUACGUAGGGUGCGAGCGUUAAUCGGAAUUACUGGGCGUAAAGUGUGCGCAGGCGGCUUCGCAAGUCGAGUGUGAAAUCCCCGGGCUUAACUUGGGAACGGCGCUCGAAACUACGGAGCUAGAGUAUGGCAGAGGGAGGUGGAAUUCCACGUGUAGCGGUGAAAUGCGUAGAGAUGUGGAGGAACACCAAUGGCGAAGGCAGCCUCCUGGGCCAAUACUGACGCUCAUGCACGAAAGCGUGGGGAGCAAACAGGAUUAGAUACCCUCGUAGUCCCUGAGCGGGCUGGCAAGGCGCAU